AUUGACCGCUGGCGGCAGGCCUAACACAUGCAAGUCGAGCGAGCGGCGGACGGGUGAGUCAUUUCUGGGAAACUGCCUGAUGGAGGGGGCUAACUACUGGCAACGGUAGCUCAUACCGCAUACCCUCAGAUGUUCCCAGAUGGGAUUAGCUAGUAGGUGGGGUAAUGGCUCACCUCGGCGACGAUCCCUAGCUGGUCUGAGAGGAUGCCAAGCAACACUGGAACUGAGAAACGGUCCAGACUCCUACGGGAGGCAGCAGGGGGGAAUAUUGCACAAUGGGCGCAAGCCUGAUGCAGCCAUGCCGCGUGGGUGAAGAAGGCCUGCGGGUUGUAAAGCACUGUCAGCGAGGAGGCGUUACUCGCAGAAGAAGCACCGGCUAACUCCGUGCCAGCAGCCGCGGUAAUUC
rnacentral:rRNA from 1 species